UGAUGCAGCGACGCCGCGUGAGGGAUGACGGCCUUCGGGUUGUAAACCUCUUUCAGCAGGGACGAAGCGAAAGUGACGGUACCUGCAGAAGAAGCACCGGCCAACUACGUGCCAGCAGCCGCGGUAAUACUUACGGUGCGAGCGUUGUCCGGAAUUACUGGGCGUAAAGAGCUCGUAAGCGGUUUGUCGCGUCGUCUGUGAAAACCAGCAGCUCAACUGCUGGCUUGCAGGCGAUACGGGCAGACUUGAGUACUGCAGGGGAGACUGGAAUUCCUGGUGUAGCGGUGAAAUGCGCAGAUGUCACGAGGAACACCGGUGGCGAAGGCGGGUCUCUGGGCAGUAACUGACACUGAGGAGCGAAAGCGUGGGUAGCGAACAGGAUUAGAUACCCUGGUAGUCCACGCCGUAAACGGUGGGCGCUAGGUGUGGGUUUCCUUCCACGGGAUCCGUGCCGUACCUAACCCAUUAAGCGCCCCGCCGGGGGAGUACGGCCCCAAGGCUAAAACUCAAAGGAAUUGACGGGGGCCCGCACAAGCGGCGAAGCAUGUGGAUUAAUUCAAUGCAACGCGAAAAACCUUACCUGGGUUUGAC
rnacentral:rRNA from 1 species